AGAGAACACCAGGAAUCAAGUUCAUAGGACGAACGACCAAACUUACCCCAUAGGUGCUGCAUACAAAUUAUGGGUGACUUCAGGACUGCUUUAUUUCAGUGCUAAGGAAUAGAAAGUCUAUCUCCUUCAUAGAGCCACAUAAUAAAGGCAAGGUGUUGAAAUUUUCCAUGGACAAAUGUUUGUGUUGUGAUUGUACGUGGUCCAUACUAUCUACAUGGUUUUUGAGGGGUGUGCUGUUAUGCAUAAUCCACUUGGCUCAUUUUCACUUGUGUACAAUCUCUAUAGCUAUGAUAGAUUGCACCUAAAUGGAUGAGGGUCUGCUAUGUUGGAGGACAGGAUUGCUAGAAGGUUGGAAGGGAUUUUAAAAUAGUGGUGGGGUGGCUAGACAACAUUGAAGUAUACAAAAUGAAGAUAGAACUUUAAGGAGAAACAAUGAGGUCAGCACAAUGGGGCUGGUGAUGGGGGAGGGGCAAGAUCAGAACAGAGGAUAAAUGAAAUAAAAGUCUACAUACCGUACAAGUUACACAUUGCAAUUUA